AACUGCGAGUGAAGCGGGAAAAGCUCAAAUUUAAAAUCUGUCAGUCUUUGGCUGUCCGAGUUGUAAUCUAGAGAAGUGUUAUCCGCGCUGGACCGUGUACAAGUCUCCUGGAAUGGAGCGUCAUAGAGGGUGAGAAUCCCGUCUUUGACACGGACUGCCAGGGCUUUGUGAUGCGCUCUCAAAGAGUCGAGUUGUUUGGGAAUGCAGCUCAAAAUGGGUGGUAAAUUCCAUCUAAAGCUAAAUAUUGGCGAGAGACCGAUAGCGAACAAGUACCGUGAGGGAAAGAUGAAAAGAACUUUGGAAAGAGAGUUAAACAGUACGUGAAAUUGCUGAAAGGGAAACGCUUGAAGUCAGUCGCGUUGACCAGGGAUCAACCCUUGCUUUUGCUUGGUGUACUUUCUGGUUGACGGGUCAGCAUCAAUUUUGACUAUUGGAAAAAGAUCAGGGGAAUGUGGCAUCUUUGGAUGUGUUAUAGCCUCUGGUUGUAUACAAUGGUUGGGAUUGAGGAACUCAGCACGCGCCGCAAGGCCGGGUUUUUAACCACGUACGUGCUUAGGAUGCUGGCAUAAUGGCUUUAAUCGACCCGUCUUGAAACACGGACCAAGGAGUCUAACAUGCCUGCAAGUGUUUGGGUGGAAAACCCGAGCGCGUAAUGAAAGUGAAAGUUGAGAUCCCUGUCGUGGGGAGCAUCGACGCCCGGACCAGAUCUUUUGUGACGGUUCCGCGGUAGAGCAUGUAUGUUGGGACCCGAAAGAUGGUGAACUAUGCCUGAAUAGGGUGAAGCCAGAGGAAACUCUGGUGGAGGCUCGUAGCGAUUCUGACGUGCAAAUCGAUCGUCAAAUUUGGGUAUAGGGGCGAAAGACUAAUCGAACCAUCUAGUA
rnacentral:rRNA from 1 species